rnacentral:rRNA from 1 species
UACGUGGGGGGCAAGCGUUGUUCGGAAUUACUGGGCGUAAAGGGCGCGUAGGCGGCCAACUAAGUCAGACGUGAAAUCCCUCGGCUUAACCGGGGAACUGCGUCUGAUACUGGAUGGCUGGAGUUUGGGAGAGGGAUGCGGAAUUCCAGGUGUAGCGGUGAAAUGCGUAGAUAUCUGGAGGAACACCGGUGGCGAAGGCGGCAUCCUGGACCAACACUGACGCUGAGGAGCGAAAGCCAGGGGAGCAAACGGG